rnacentral:tRNA from 2 species
GCCCGGGUGGCGAAACUGGUAGACGCACAGGACUUAAAAUCCUGGGCCGAAAGGCGUGCGGGUUCGACUCCCGCCCUGGGCACCA